GGUGAUGGUAUCUGGCGGGGGGUGGGGGUGGGGGGGGCAGGGGGGGAGGUAGGUCUUUAGGUGGUAAUUAAGUUUAGAUAAGGUUGAAGGGGGUGGAGCGUCCUGAUGGAAUAAAGGUUCUUUUAAGAGGAGUAAGAGACAUCAAUGUUUCCUCUCUCUACCCUGUGAAGACAAGGCCAGAAGGUAGCCAACUGUAAACCAAGGACAGGGAACUCCCCAGAACCUGAGUAUACUGGCACCAUGGUAACCUUGGACUACCAGUCUUCGCAAGGAUGAGAAGUAAAUCUGUUGCUCAAGCAGCCCAUUCUGGAGACUAGGACAUACCCUUCACAUUCAUAUUAAUUGGUCCUGAGCUACAGCAGGUGCAGAAACUUCUAUUUGCCAUCUCUUUUGAGAAGCAAAUUGCUCAGGUUGAAAUUGUGGAAAAUUAACAAGAAAUCUCAUUUAGAAAGGGGGCCAGCGGGGGUGCAGUCAUGCGUCACCCUUCAUCAGUUGUAAACACAACAGGAGGAGCACUGUGGCAAAGACACUUCAUUCCUAUCUCUGCCGGAAGAAGAAAGGCUUUCCUUUGCCCUAGCAACAGCCUAGCCAAUGAGAGAUAGUCACGACUCAGCCAAGGAAAAACACCUGUACUUGGAACUCCCAGUUUACUCCAAUCAACUUUUUGUUUUUAAGAGCCUUCUCCACUCCCCCCCACCCCUUUUCUCUAUAAACCAGUAUAUCCCUCUCCUUUGUUGUCCAGAAUUGCCUAUGGUUUUCCCACAGCUGUCCCUGACUGCAAUCCUCCACUAUUUCCCAAAAAAACCAUUUUUGCUGGUAAAAUAAUGGCCAGUUUUAUUUUUUAAGAUGAACAAAAUGAUUAUUUUGGAUGUAAUGGGUGAAAUAAAAAAUACUAUUAAAUUUA